UGUUCAUUGGGCAGCCCAGCGGCUGCUCUGCUAGCCCCGUGCUCUCAUCGCACUCGGAGGGCAGCCCAUUGGUCAGCGGACCUGCUCCUCAGAGCGGAGGCGGAGCCCUUAGCGAAGAACUCCGAGACAAUUGGUUAUUUUUGACGUCGUUAGCCCAUGGGCCAAGGAACUAUAGGAUAAAGCCAGCGCGGAGGGGGCAGGGAAAAGAGAGGAGGGCUAGAAGAUGGGUCUUGUUUGAUGCUGAUGGAGGCGGGGUGCAAACAGGGAGGCAAUUGUGACCACAAGCCGGGCGGGGUAGAGUCAAGUGUUGUCUGGGUUUGGGAGGAGGAAGGCACGCAGGUAGUUCAGCUUCUGGGUCUGAAGGCUUCAGGCCGACCGAUGGACUCACCUGUAGUCCAGGACACCAGGGCAAAAUUUGGGGUCGUGUCCCACGAGAAAGGAGGCAGGAUUAUGAUAAGGAAAAAUGGAGCUUUCUUUUUCCUAUUCACCCAUCCAAGCGUGCAACGGCUCAUGUUUCAUCAUUUUGAAGGCUAAUCAGCACUGGACCCAAAACCGGUGCAUAAAAUCUGUCAGGAACUCCUGAAGCCCCUUGCCUAUUCUGAAGAUGUGGAAAUCCUAAAAUGUGAACAGAAAUAAACCUUCAAGCCUGAA